CCUCAGUCUCCCUAGUAGCUGGGACUACAGGCGUGCGCUACCACACCCAGUUAAUUUUUGUAUUUUUAGUAGAGAGAGGGUUUCACCGUGUUGGCCAGGCUGGUCUUGAACUCCUGACCUCAAGUGAUCUGCCCGCCUUGGCCUCCCAAAGUGCUGGGAUUACAGGCGUGAAUGACUUCCAAAACUUCUGCUGAGACAUGGUAUAAGCCAUCUGCUCACAUUCCAUUAACCAAGGCAAGUCCCUGGACCCAAGUCUGAUGUCAAUAGUGGGAAGAAAUGUAUUCCACAGGAAGGCCCAUGGCAGUAGACCUGGAUGUAUAAUUUUCUUGCAGGGAGAGUGUAAAUAAUCUGGAAGAAAUACUGCAGUCUAUCACAGAUCCCAAAGAUAGUUUCAUCAUUUGUAUUUUUACAAAUACUUACUGGAUACUAUUCCUUUCUGUGAGGCAAGAACAACCAGCUGUCAUUCUCUAAAAAUUUUCAGAUAUUAAGCACAUAUUCACCUCUGAACUUUAAUGUUUUUUCUACAUCAGCAUUAUUCAGAAUCUCAUCCAGGAACUAUUUGCUAACAAUCUGCAAUGAGAUAAGAAGAUUAUGCCAGGAAGUAAAUCAACACACUGCUUCCUUCACCACGAAAGCCUUGCUACAAAAAAUCAAAUGGCAGCAGUACUGAACAGUGCACUUACUGAUGUAGUUGGUUAACAUUUUGGCUUAAGCUCCUUAUCUUGUCAUGGACAGGUACCGAAUACUCUGGACUGACAGAGGUCGACAAACUAUGCUCUGAGUGGCACUGUUCUGCAGCAAAGUGGUUUUACCCAUAAGACCAUUCAAUUAUAGAAUUUUAGAACUGAAAGAUGUCUUAGACACCAUCUAGUCCAAGUUCCUGGUUUCACAGCCGAGGAUCCUUAGAACCUGAAAGUUUUAGCAAACUUCCCAAAGCCACUUAGUGGUUGUGAUGCAAUAUGAAGUAAAGGCCAACUGUCCUGACUCUUUCCAAUCACCACCAUGCCCUGAAAUUCCUGAAGGAAGCAGAAUUUCCUCUGAGGUUUCUGCUGAGUCAUAUGCAGGCUCCAUCUGAUGUAGAGAUUCAGUAGAAGGGGCCAGGUUGCCUCCUGAUGGGGGCAGCGUGUGGAGGAUGAGCCUGGGCUUACUUGGCAGACAGAUCUGGUCAUGUUCCAGCUCUAUCUCCUACUUGCAGAAUGUCUUCGGGAAAAUUACCUACAUUCUCAAAGCCUCAGAUUCUUGCUUUGUCAACAUUCCUUGAAGAUUGCUAAACUGAAGACUCUGGUGUUCCCUUUUGUGAUAGGGAGAAUAAUAGCCCCCCAAAGAUAUCUACAUCCUAAUCCUUGGAACCUGUGACUAUGUUAUGUCACAUGGCAAUGGGAGACUUGAGGUUCCAGACUGAAUUAAGGUUGAUAAUCAGCUGACCUUGAGAUGGUGAGACUAUCUGGGAUCAUCUGGGUGGGUCCAAUGUCAUCACAAUGUUCCUUAUAAGAGAGAGGCAGGAGAGAAAGAAUCAGAAAGGCGGCAGCAUGAGGAAGGCUCAGCCUGACAUUGCUGGCUUAGAAGAUGGAGGAGUGAGGCCAUGAGCGAAGGAAUGCAGGAAGCCUCUAGAAGCUGGAACACACCCCUGCUGACACCUGGACUUGUACCUAGUGAAACCCAUUUCAGACUUCAGACCUCCAAAACUGUGCAGUAAUAAAGCUGUUUUGUUUUAAGCCACUGAUUUGUGGUAAUUUGUUAGAGCAGCAAUAGGAAAGGAAUUCACCAUUCAUCUGAACAUUGCUAUUGCCUCCCUAGAGCAACUGUUACAUCAUCUUUUGGAAGAUACAGCUUUUUUGAAGACACGUUUUAUAGUGGUAUUAUUUGGCAGAAUCUGCUCUAACACAAGCUAGCCAAGGCAGGAAGUCUGCUUCUUUAGAGGGCAUAGUUUCUCUCUUGCUGUUUCUCAAUCCUUUUUAGCUGUUUUAGUCAUAGCUGGUCAAAAACAAUGGUUUGCAUUUAGGGGUCAUUGCACUUGGGAAUUUAAAUGUACUCUAAAAUAGCUGAUAAUCGGAUUUUUUCCUCUUGCUUGAUCAUCAGUUUUAGUUAGAGCUGCAGUCUUUCUAACAGUGCUGCCCUUUUGCACUGUGUCAGACACUAUUUGCCAGGGAAGAAUUGAGGUUACAUGGUGCCUGGCAGUGGUGGCAGACAGUUUGUGGUCUCCACACCUUGCAACACUGAUCAUCCUGUUUGAUGCAACUCUUUGACGCAGUGUGAAAGGCGUUGCAGCAGGAGGAGGCGUCUCUGUUUGACCUAUUUCCUUAUAUUUGAGCACAGAUGUUGGGAUUUGAAUGCUUGAUA
rnacentral:lncRNA from 1 species